rnacentral:lncRNA from 1 species
AUGCUCCAGUCCAUCCCCUGCCUCCCCUGUUCUUUUGCAGGAGUUUUCAUCAAUUUGGAGACAUCUGAUGAGUUGUUGGGGUCGUUUCGUGACCAAGAACUGCAGAGCAAGGAGACAGGAGGCUGGGGCCAUUCCCUUCCUCUGAGGGAAUGGAUGCGUGUUUUUCUGCUCCAUUUUACAAGAAAACGGCAAGACUCGGGCCAGCAACCACCACCCAGCAAAGCAGGAUUGCUCAGAAGAGGAGCCAAGAAGGUCCAGGGGUAGGUUCCAGCCUCUGGUGAGCGUGGGUAUUUUUUGUUUCCCCACUGAAAGUAUAAAAAAAGAGGACUCACACGUGAUGUGGUUCAUAUUGAGAUUCCUGCCACCCUAUGUGGGGCUAAAUAAACCCCGUGCUUUGCACCA